GUUAAAUGGUUUAUUAAAAUGUUUUUAAAAUAAGAAUAUUAGGAUUUUAUUAUUUGUUAAGAAAAAAUUUUUUUAAUUAUAGUUUAUUAGUAUUGUGAAAGAAAAUUGAAUAACUUAAAAAAGAAGAAUUUUGUUUUUGUACCUUGUGUAUCAGGGUUUAUUAAAUAUAAAUUAUAAAAUUAAUUUUCCCGAAUUUAGAAGAGCUAAAUUUAUAUAUAUAUUAUUGUGGCAUAAAUAUUUAAAAUAUAGAUUUUGUAAUGAGAUGUUAUUCGUUUCUAAAUAUAUCUGGUUUUUUAAGAAAUGAAUUUAAUUCAGUUAGUUUGUAUUAACAUUUUUUUUUUGAUAAAAUGUUAUUAAAAUUAUUUAAUAACCUAAGGGAUGAGCUUUAGGUUAAAUUUUUAAAAAUAAAUUGGUUUUUAAGAUGAGUAGGAUUAGAAGUUUCUAGUUUAGUAAGUGUUAUAACUGAUCUUAUUUUGAAUAUUAUUUAUAUUUGUUUUAAGUUUUUUAUUAAAAUGUAUUUUUGAAUUUUGUGUAGUUAGAAAAAAUGAUAGAAUUAGUAUAUUAAAUUGUAUGCCUAUGGUUAAAUCUAGAGGUAAAUUAAAGGAACUCGGCAAAAAUUAUUUUUCACCUGUUUAUUAAAAACAUGGCCUUUUGUUUAUAAUUUAAGGUCUAACCUGCCCGCUGAGUAGUUAAAUGGCCGCGGUAACCUGACCGUGCGAAGGUAGCAUAAUAAUUAGUUUUUUAAUUGAAAGCUGGAAUGAAUGGUUGGAUGAGAAAAUGACUGUCUCUAUUUUAAUUUUUAGAAUUUUAUUUUUAAGUUAGAAAGCUUAAAUACCGUUAAAAGACGAGAAGACCCUAUAGAGUUUAACAAUUUUAAGCUUUCAAAUUUUUAGGAUUAUCAUCUUUAAAAUUUAAAUUUGUUUGGUUGGGGCGACUGAAAAAUUAAAGGAACUUUUUUUUAACAAUUACACUUAUCUGUGAUUAUUUGAUCCAUAAAUUAUGAUUAUAAGAUAAAAUUACCUUAGGGAUAACAGCGUAAUCUUUUUUUAGAGUUCUAAUCGAAAGAAGGGUUUGCGACCUCGAUGUUGGAUUAAAAUUAAUUUUUGGUGCAGAAGCUGAAAGUUUUAGGUCUGUUCGACCUUUAAAAUUUUACAUGAUCUGAGUUUAAACCGGCGUGAGCCAGGUUGGUUUCUAUCUUUAACAAGAAUAAAUAUUUUAGUACGAAAGGACCAAAUAUUUAAUAAUUUAUUUUUAUUUUGAAUACUAAU
rnacentral:rRNA from 1 species